rnacentral:rRNA from 1 species
UCGGGAAUUUUGGGCAAUGGGCGAAAGCCUGACCCAGCAACGCCGCGUGAGGGAUGAAGGCCCUCGGGUCGUAAACCUCUGUCGGGAGGGAAGAACGGUUCACGUUCGAAUAGGACGGGAGCCUGACGGUACCUCCAAAGGAAGCACCGGCUAACUCCGUGCCAGCAGCCGCGGUAAUACGGAGGGUGCAAGCGUUGUUCGGAAUCAUUGGGCGUAAAGCGCGUGUAGGCGGCUUGGCAAGUCAGUUGUGAAAGCCCGGGGCCCAACCCCGGAACUGCAUCUGAAACUGCCUAGCUAGAGUCCCGGAGAGGAAGGCAGAAUUCCCGGUGUAGGGGUGAAAUCCGUAGAUAUCGGGAGGAAUACCAGCGGCGAAGGCGGCCUUCUGGACGGUGACUGACGCUGAGACGCGAAAGCGUGGGGAGCAAACAGG